rnacentral:lncRNA from 1 species
UGGUGCUGCAUGUGUCUGGGUGGUACCAUGGACGGGAUCUGGGUGGUACCAUGGACGGGCAUGCUGGUUCGGUGCCGAGGGUCCCAGCUGAAUCACAGGGGUUGACAUGGGAAGGGUCCUGGUGACAUCACAGCCAGUUCAGCCAACGAGUAUCCAGCGGAUCCUGUCUGGGGAGAGGCAGAGCCGAGGAGCCGUGGGGCAGGAAGCCGUAGUCGAUGAGGGCACCUCCCACAGGUAAGGGGCAAUUCACCAUCGGGCCCCAGGGCAGGGGCUAGCUGGCUCAGGGGGCAGGGAAUGGGGCAGGGGCCUGUCCCCUCUAGGGGGCGCCAGCUCCCACCCGGCCCCAGGGCAGGGACUGG